UUUUGCUUGCUCCUCUCGCAAAGUGCGCGGGCGGAAAAAGACGAAUUAAUUGUAGAAGCGUAGUCCUCCGUAAGCUUCUUUAGCCAUUUUGCAAACAUUUGGCUACCUACCUACGCUCGU
ensembl:ncRNA F10C1.20 ncRNA